GGACAAUUCCCCUCCGAGAUGUUGAUCCGCGCGCCACUCUCCUCGCGGAUCCUCUUAACCGACUCCCCUUUCUUCCCAAUGAUGCUUCCUACUUCCUUUCCGUGCAUAAGAAGCCGAAUGAGGAAGACAAACAUAAAGAUGAAGUGCUUAAUUCAAGGUCACACAAUGUCGGGGAUGGACCUCCAGAUUUCCUUACUGACCUGCAUUAUCUUGUGGAUACCUGAGUGAAUUCCACACCACCCAUUUUAUAGAUGAAACCACUGAGACAUGGAGCAAUUGACUGAGUAGUCACUGCCCCACCCCUGCCUGGAGCCUCACACAUGACUCGCCUCCUCUCAGUGACCACAGGUUGGUUGAGGGGUUUAACAAGGCUAAGAAGGUGAGACGUGGUCUUGUAACACAGUGGUUAAGAAUGUGACUUUGGAGCCAGCCUGCUAGGGGCUGAAUUCUGACUCAGCCAUUUACUAACUGUGUGACCUUAGGUCACAGAAUUUUCCACACUCCUUGACAGAGGUGCUUAACCCUUAUCCAUCAGCAUUCUCAGACAGCACCU
rnacentral:lncRNA from 1 species